rnacentral:rRNA from 1 species
CCUACGGGGGGCUGCAGUAAGGAAUAUUGGUCAAUGGGCGGAAGCCUGAACCAGCCAUGCCGCGUGCAGGAAGACUGCCCUAUGGGUUGUAAACUGCUUUUGUACCGGAAUAAACCCUUUUACGUGUAAGAGGCUGAAUGUACGGUAAGAAUAAGGAUCGGCUAACUCCGUGCCAGCAGCCGCGGUAAUACGGAGGAUCCAAGCGUUAUCCGGAUUUAUUGGGUUUAAAGGGUGCGUAGGCGGCUUUUUAAGUCAGAGGUGAAAACUUGCGGCUCAACCGUAAGCUUGCCUUUGAUACUGAAGAGCUUGAAUGAACUAGAGGUAGGCGGAAUGUGACAAGUAGCGGUGAAAUGCAUAGAUAUGUCACAGAACACCAAUUGCGAAGGCAGCUUACUAUGGUUUAAUUGACGCUGAGGCACGAAAGCGUGGGGAUCAAACAGGAUUAGAUACCCGUGUAGUC